AACGAACGCUGGCGGCAUGCCUAACACAUGCAAGUCGAACGAGACCUUCGGGUCUAGUGGCGCACGGGUGCGUAACGCGUGGGAACCUGCCCUUAGGUUCGGAAUAACUCCCUGAAAGGGGUGCUAAUACCGGAUAAUGUCUUCGGACCAAAGAUUUCUCGCCUUUGGAUGGGCCCGCGUUGGAUUAGCUAGUUGGUAGGGUAAAAGCCUACCAAGGCGACGAUCCAUAGCUGGUCUGAGAGGAUGAUCAGCCACACUGGGACUGAGACACGGCCCAGACUCCUACGGGAGGCAGCAGUAGAGAAUAUUGGACGAUGGACGAAAGCCUGGUCCAGCAAUGCCGCGUGAGUGGUGAAGGCCUUAGUGUUGUAAAGCUCUUUUACCCGGGAUGAUAAUGACGGUACCGGGAGAAUAAGCUCCGGCUAACUCCGUG
rnacentral:rRNA from 1 species